UUUUCUGUCUCAUCAGUCAUCUCUCUUCUUGAUUAUCUCCCAGACUCCCUUUCUCUACAACCCAUAACCUAACCCUUCAUCUCUCUCUUAUUUUCUGUCUCGUCUCUCUCCACAACUCAUAACCUACCUAAUCAUUUAUCCCUCUCAUUUUUUCUAUCUCAUCUCUCUCGUAUUCUCUCUCUCUCUCUCUCUCUCUCUCUCUCUCUCUCUCUCUCUCUCUCUCUCUCUCUACAACCCAGAAACCACCUAACAUUUCCUUCCACCCAAUCCAAAACCAAGCCAAACAUCCCUACUCACUCUCUCUCAUUUCAUUUCGCCUCUCAUCUGCCUUCACUCAGUCUCAGACUCUCCCUCUCUUUCUCGGAUUUGAAGCUUAGCAGCCACCCACCGUCUAGCAAUCUGACUCCGACGAACUAUCUCCACUCCGGCCACCACCACACCUCAUGGCUUCAUCCCCACCUCCGGUUCUCUCCAGUGAUUCUCUGUGUGUGUGGGAUUUCAAAUUGAGGUUAGGGUUUUGAAUUGGGGCUUAGGGUUUCGAAUUGGGGGCUCGGGUCAGGAGGAGGUCCCUCUCUUCACUCUGCUUCUUUCUCGACCAUAAAUCUUUCACUGAUUCACUAUCACUAUGUCUCUGAUUUCAAUUUGGAUUUUUAAUGCAGGUUCGGAUGAUUUCAAUAUUAAUCUAAGACGAUUUGGAUUCUGAUGAUGUUCGGUUUCGGGAAAUUCCGAAAUACCGAAAAUAUUUCGGGAAUCCCGAAAUUUGGGAAUCCGAAAUUUCGGUUCGGGAUCGGUCAUGAGAUUUACGUCCCGAAAAUUUUCGGUUCGGGAUUUGAUAUGCCAUUUUUGGUUCGGUAUCCCAUACCGAACCAGCCCUAAU
rnacentral:lncRNA from 1 species